AGGCGGCGGCAGCAGGCAAGACAGCCUCAGCAGCCCCGAGCGCGUGGCAGAGCUAGCAGGACCACCCCCACCCCCUCCCCAGAGCUGCUUGAGCUCAGCCUUGGUCCGGGGCGGGGCGGGACAGGGCGGGGCCGGAGGACCGAGGGGGCGGGGAGAAGAGGCUCCAGCUGGCUCCACUCCGCAGCGGCAGCAGAGGCAGCGCAGCGGGCCGAGCGAGCAGCAGCUGCCGGACAGGCAGCCGGGCGCGCUCCGGGAGGAAGCCGGCCGGCGGCCCUAAGGAUGCUGAUCAAGCCCACAAAAGGGCAAUAUUCCACAUUUCUCAUCUCGUGAAUGGCCUUCAGGAUCUGCAGACCAGGGACAUUGCUGACACCAGCUGUGCAGCUGGGAAAGUUAUCGAAGAUGUGCUCCGUGGAUGAGUUAAUAUAACAGAGAUUAUUUGGCAAGUCUUCCUGGUAAGUGUACCCCCUUGAUAAUAUAUCAUUUUUUACAGCUUCGAAAAUUCAAAUUACUCUC
rnacentral:lncRNA from 1 species